AUACGGAGGAUCCGAGCGUUGUCCGGAUUUAUUGGGUUUAAAGGGUGCUCAGGCGGGGGAUUAAGUCGGCGGUGAAAUUUUGCGGCGCAACCGUAAAAGUGCCUUCGAAACUGGUUUCCUUGAGUGUGGAUGAGGUAGGCGGAAUUUGUGGUGUAGCGGUGAAAUGCAUAGAUAUCACGAGGAACUCCGAUUGCGCAGGCAGCUUACCAGGCCAUAACUGACGCUCAAGCACGAAGGCGUGGGGAUCAAACAGGAUUAGAUACCCUGGUAGUCCACGCAGUAAACGAUGAUUACUGGCUGUUUGCGAUACAAUGUAAGCGGCUGAGCGAAAGCGUUAAGUAAUCCACCUGGGGAGUACGUUCGCAAGAAUGAAACUCAAAUGAAUUGACGGGG
rnacentral:rRNA from 1 species